ensembl:lncRNA
CGCAUGCUACUCAUGCACAAGGGCCACAUAUUGUGUGAAGGCAAGAUUUUCACUUGGAGAAUGUCAGAAGAGCCAUAAUGCAAAGAAGGAAGCCAAGAAUCCGGCCUGUUGAUGAUGCAACAUCACACAUUCUUUCUUCGGGAGAUAAGCAGGGGCUUACUCAAAACGUCAUUGAUGAUUACAAAGGACCGGGAGUGUUUGCUACCAAGAGAUUUGAAAAAGGGGAUUUUGUCGUGGAGUACAGGGGUGAAAUCAUCUCUUUCGAAGAAUGUCAGUCAAAAAAGUACUCCACUACAGAGAGUACAUAUCUUUAUGAAUUUGAAUGGAAGAAUCAUAGAUGGUGCAUUGAUGCAUCCAGAGAAGAUGGGUCACUUGGACGAUUGGCGAAUGACGACCACAAAGUUUGCUCUGAGAAACAUAGAACCAGGAACUGAAAUUGUCUACAACUAUGGGGACUCAAAAUGGCCCUGGCGUAAAAAGGAGAACCUUGAGAAUGCCAACGUUGGGUCAGAUGAACCCAAGCUGUUCCCUGAUCAUGUUACUACUCAGUAGAACCUUGAGAAUGCCAACGUUGGGUCAGAUGAACCCAAGCUGUUCCCUGAUCAUGUUACUACUCAGGUGUUUUCUGUCGGCGGAAUUUCACUUGUGGAUUAUUCUGACUGAUGAAACCAUGGACGCCAGAGGAGGGUGUAGCAAUUAAGAGGCAAUUGAGAAGGUUUUAAUAAUGAAUAUGACACCGGGUAAGGCAGAUUGUGAAAAAUGCCUUUCCGAAGAACCUGAGGCACUCAAAAACCGAGACUGGAAGGCUGUAAAAUACUUAGUGAAAAACAGAAGUUAUGAACAGAGAAAGAAAUCGAUGUAAGAAAAAAUAGGAAAGGUUUUUUCUCAUCUCUUGGAUUGUUGGAUUGAUGCAAAAGUCAGGUUUUAUUACCAUGCAAAAUGGUAGAAAUGUUCACAAUACAGUUCACAAAGGUUCAACCUAUGCCUGCCUUCGGCAUUCAAGCUAUUGUUAAAAAAAAAAGUAAGUUGUUGCUGUUUCGAUUUUCAUAUUCACGUCAUAAGAACUGAAACUACCGAUGGCAUUAUGGUCUUUUUUUGUCACUUUACCAUACCAAGUAAUACUCAAAGUUGAAUAAAAGUGAGAAAUGUGAGUAAACUCUGAUUAUUUAAUUACUCAUGGAUAGAAAUCGGACAAAUGGGAGAGGGAGGUCGAUGUUCAAGCUGGAAAGUUAAAAACAAAAUGC